rnacentral:rRNA from 1 species
AGCGGCGGACGGGUGAGUAACGCGUGGGAAUGUACCCUUCUCUAAGGAAUAGCCACUGGAAACGGUGAGUAAUACCUUAUACGCCCUUCGGGGGAAAGAUUUAUCGGAGAAGGAUCAGCCCGCGUUGGAUUAGAUAGUUGGUGGGGUAAUGGCCUACCAAGUCUACGAUCCAUAGCUGGUUUGAGAGGAUGAUCAGCCACACUGGGACUGAGACACGGCCCAGACUCCUACGGGAGGCAGCAGUGGGGAAUCUUAGACAAUGGGGGAAACCCUGAUCUAGCCAUGCCGCGUGAGUGAUGAAGGCCUUAGGGUCGUAAAGCUCUUUCGCCAGGGAUGAUAAUGACAGUACCUGGUAAAGAAACCCCGGCUAACUCCGUGCCAGCAGCCGCGGUAAUACGGAGGGGGUUAGCGUUGUUCGGAAUUACUGGGCGUAAAGCGCACGUAGGCGGACUAGUCAGUCAGAGGUGAAAUCCCAGGGCUCAACCCUGGAACUGCCUUUGAUACUGCUAGUCUUGAGUUCGAGAGAGGUGAGUGGAAUUCCGAGUGUAGAGGUGAAAUUCGUAGAUAUUCGGAGGAACACCAGUGGCGAAGGCGGCUCACUGGCUCGAUACUGACGCUGAGGUGCGAAAGUGUGGGGAGCAAACAGGAUUAGAUACCCUGGUAGUCCACACCGUAAACGAUGAAUGCCAGUCGUCGGGCA